rnacentral:rRNA from 1 species
AGUGAACGCUGGCGGUAGGCCUAACACAUGCGAGUCGAACGGCAGCACAGUAAGAGCUUGCUCUUACGGGUGGCGAGUGGCGGACGGGUGAGGAAUACAUCGGAAUCUACUUUUUCGUGGGGGAUAACGUAGGGAAACUUACGCUAAUACCGCAUACGACCUACGGGUGAAAGCAGGGGAUCUUCGGACCUUGCGCGAUUGAAUGAGCCGAUGUCGGAUUAGCUAGUUGGCGGGGUAAAGGCCCACCAAGGCGACGAUCCGUAGCUGGUCUGAGAGGAUGAUCAGCCACACUGGAACUGAGACACGGUCCAGACUCCUACGGGGGGCAGCAGUGGGGAAUAUUGGACAAUGGGCGCAAGCCUGAUCCAGCCAUACCGCGUGGGUGAAGAAGGCCUUCGGGUUGUAAAGCCCUUUUGUUGGGAAAGAAAAGCAGCAGGUUAAUACCCCGCUGUUCUGACGGUACCCAAAGAAUAAGCACCGGCUAACUUCGUG